rnacentral:rRNA from 1 species
AGUCACUGACAUUAGAUACCCCCGUAGUCCUAACUGUAAACGAUGCGGACUUGGUGUAUCGGUGACCACGAGUUACCGAGGUGCCGAAGGGAAACCGUGAAACGUGCCGCCUGGGAAGUACGGUCGCAAGGCUGAAACUUAAAGGAAUUGGCGGGGAGCACCACAACAGGUGGAGCCUGCGGUUUAAUUGGACUCAACGCCGGGAAGCUCACCGGAUAGGACAGCAGAAUGAUUGCCGGGCUGAAGACCCUGCAUGACUAGCUG